GUUACAGCCGCCGCGGUAAUACGGAGGUGGCGAGCGUUGUUCGGAAUUACUGGGCGUAAAGGGCGCGUAGGCGGGGGGAGAAGUCGGGUGUGAAAGCCCUCGGCUCAACCGAGGAACGGCGCUCGAGACUCUCUCUCUUGAGUCCCGGAGAGGACGAUGGAAUUCCCGGUGUAGCGGUGAAAUGUGUAGAGAUCGGGAGGAACACCGGUGGCGUAGGCGGUCGUCUGGACGGUGACUGACGCUGAGGCGCGAAAGCGUGGGGAGCAAACGGGAUUAGAAACCCGAGUAGUCC
rnacentral:rRNA from 1 species